GCCCAGAUGGCGGAAUUGGUAGACGCGCUACGUUCAGGUCGUCGUUCUCGCAAGGGAGUGGAGGUUCGGGUCCUCUGCUGGCCG
rnacentral:tRNA from 1 species